rnacentral:lncRNA from 1 species
UGGGCCAUUCCAGUUAAUAUCUGCUAAAAGGGGGUGGAUGGUCCUUUCUGAGGGGUGUAAAAUUUAUACAUCUUAUACACUUAUACGCAAAAAACUUCUGAGGGUCUUGGCAGCAGUAAAUAAUUAAAAAUGAUUACAUCUUAGGGGUAACAAAAAUGCCUAUGUCAGAUCUGAUGGGUGCUUUGAAAUGUAGACAGUUUCGUAUCAUGCAUUAUCUGGUAUUGUUUUUAAAAUUCUGAUGGGUACAAUCCUUGCAGUAAAAAAAUCUGAUAGGUCAUUUUUUUUCCAUAAAAGCCCAUCCACCCAACGUGAACAGGAACUCUUCAUCUGAUAGGUCAUAAUUUUUUAUAUCUGAUAGGUAGUUUUUCAUGAUGUUUUUUUCUGAUACGUAUAAAAAAAAAUCUCCCCAUCCAUCCCCACCUGUCAGAAAUUAACUGGAAUGGCU